UGCAAGUGGGCCCUGGACUGACUGCUGGCACACAUUAUGCAAUAAUCUACCGCAGUUACAUGUUGUUGGGAGAUGGGUGACUGAAGCUCCUCUGAAACGAAAUGGCAACUAUAUCGUUAUUUACAAUGCAGUGGAUGGAUAAAUUAAUCGUACAAUGGUUCAGACGUUUCCAGCAGCUGGUUAGUGUUGAAGGAUGGACAACCGAAUAACAUCCAACCAGCAACAUCUCCUCUGAAACCAAAUGGGCGACAUGUCACUACUGGAUGGAUAAAUUAAUCUUACAAUGAUUCAGACGUUUCCAGCAGCCGGUUAGUGUUGAAGGAUGGACAACCGAAUAACAUCCAACCAGCAACAUGUGAGUUCAACGUCUGGUCCGAGUUCAAUUCUCAACAUCAGUACAUAAAAUAUGAAUCUGACUCCAAAGGUAUUACUCAGGCGAGCGUGAAAUCCUUAUGACACAAUUAAUAGACAAUAGAAUAUCACUGGAAAUGAUUAUUGUGAUAGACAUACAUUAAUGAGAUACUAUUACAAUCGUGUUGUCAAGUAUAUUUCCCUAUGUACGUCGCUUAAGGCUCGCAUAUGUAAGGUAGUUAAGAUACGGAAACUCAGUCGGCAAAUAAUUUCUGUCUCUUGUAACAAGAUUGUUUUUACAAAGAAAUACAAAGGUGUCGAUAAGCAGUAUUAUAUAAUUCGUCUAUCCGAAUUAUGGUCUGGCGAGGCAUCUGUGACAACGGUUGAUAUUCCAACUUUGGAUCAUGGACAACUACAAAUCAAUCAGUCAUUACACACAUGGUGUACCGCCUCUUGUAUGUACAUGGACGGCAGCGCAUUAACUGAUGUCUAAAUACCUGUGAA
rnacentral:lncRNA from 1 species